UCGGACAUUCAUCUUGCCAGACCACAUCCACACUCACACCACUGUGCAGCAAGGCUACCGCGCUUUACUGAACACACUGUUGGGUAUUUAUUGCCGUGAGGUUCUGUUAGCUGGUCAGUUUUACCUUUGUCUGUUAAUAGAUCUGAUGGAGCUUGUGGAUCAAUAGUUCAUCAAUACCAGCAAUAACAAUGUGGGAGCCCGCUGCGUUGUGCUGCUUCACCAGGAAGACGGGAUGCAUUGUGGUGGGGGCGCUGGAAGUGAUUGGAACCAUUAUUGGAUUACUUGCGGUAUUCUUUCAAUUCUCAUUUAUACAAAACAGCAUAACAUACAUGGUGUGCACACGUACGACUACUUCCACGCUGGGCACAGAUUGUGGAGAAAUAUCCAAUGCUGUUUAUGGUGUGAUGGUAUUUUACAUGACCUGUGCGGCGAUCCAGGUCCUGUGCUCCGCAAUGGUGGUGAUCGGAGUGAUGAAUAGAUGUUUACCCUCUUGGUAAUCCUUGUUCUGCAUGCGAGCGUCACCUUAAAGCCUGCACUUCUCAAGCCAGGAGCUCUGACCGGACAUCUGGGUAGAGUCUACCUGGUUGAAGACGCUUUGUGGGUUACCUAGCCCCACGAGUCUCUGGUGGAAAUACUAGAGAGGCUGUGAGAUGUCGCAGGCCAGCUCAACGCUGCUUUGGGAAAUUUGGAAAAAGAAUUCCCGGACGAUUCCAAGGAGCCCAAUGAGAUCCUGUAUCUUUUGCAUGAUCGGAUGCGCUAUGUAAAUGACACGAUAACCUUAGCUUUAGAAAAUUAUGAAAGUCUGUUUGUCACUAACUGCACUAAAAGAGGAUUGAUUGAUGGAAUAGGUAAACUGUCUCAAAUGUUGUUUGGAACAGCAAUGAAUGAGGAUGUAGAUGAGCUGAAAAAUAUAUAUAACCAAUUAAUGUUUGUAGCUAAAGCUAACAACAAAGCUAUCAACUUAUAUUACAGAAAUAUUGCUCGGCUGGAAAAGCAGAUAAGUGAACUAGCUUCUUAUACAAAUCUUCUUGGACGCUCAGUAAAUGAGAUGUUAAGAAAAUUAGAUUCUUUGUAUGAAUAUUCUGUUAUAGGACAUGCUUUGUCUGCUUUGGAGAAUGUUGUUCCAUCUCUUUUGCACACUGAUCACAGAAUUACAAUGAAUAUCGUGGAUGCAGCCAUGGGUUGGGUUACCACUUCUUUUUUUCCAGAAAAGGACUUUAAAUGUACCUUGGAAAUUGGAAGAAGGGUUUAUAAUCUAUCCCCUUUAUUUGAUGAACAGUUGAUCCAUCAUUAUUACCCAUUGGUAAAAUCUGUCUUACAACAGAAGCAAUAGUCAUUCACGUACCUUUCAAGUCAAAGGACAUAUUUGAAUCGUACAGAUUGGAACCUUUCCCUUUUACAGUAAAUAAUAAUGUAAUGAUAAUGGUCGCAGAAAGCUCUAUGGUACUUGUAAAAGAUUAUUUUUCAGUGUACGCGGCUGAUACAUUCUCAGCACUUGGUGAAUGUCGGUCUGUGUAUCAGAACUUGUAUUUCUGCCCAUCAUCUCUUUUCACCUUCCUACCCACAAAGAAGAGUGGUAUUUGUGAGGUAGUGUUGACUAAAAAGGAUGCUUCAGCAGCUCUUUCUCUCUGUCCAUACAAACAGCUAGUACCUAAAAUAAUAUUUCACAAGUUUUCAUGAACACCACUACUUCUUUUUCACUGAAUCUCUAUGUAUCAGUGAUGUGUUCUAAUGGUUCUGCGUAUCAGGAAGUUUCAGGUCACUUUGCAGAACUGAACGUAUGUUAUUUAAAAUCUAACAAUUUUCAUGUUUUUCCUGAAAAUAUCAUGGUUUUAUUUUUUAACAUAACUGUGUGCGUCCAUCGUGUGGUGCUGCUGGGAUUAAGUGACUCGGUGAACUCAGUGACAUUAUGAACUCAUUCCUAAGUUUAAAACACACUUCCAUAUGAACUUGUACGUUGUGUAAGGACAGACAGCACUUUGUAAGUUUUGUACAUAAUAUACAAACUUUUAUUAUUCUGAGUUAUUCCUUCUAACCCUGGGUUGCUUAACAACACCAAAAAACUAGCAUAAAAACGUUUAACGCUCAACACCUCUCUCUCUUUUUUUAUAUUUAUACUGAUCAAAUGUACAGGGAAAACAACUUCUACAUUACAUAAGAACGUUGUUUUUACAGACUAAAGGGUACAGGGUUAGUGCAACCUAUCUUAAAAUUUAACCCUGGUGAUGUAUAUUACAUUCUGUAUGUACAACAAUAACUUAUAUUGUAACACUGAAUAUACUACGUUCACUGUACAUGAUUCACCCUUGCCUCAGUAACCAAUGGUUCACUUGCACUUUAAAUGUUUGAGUGUUUGUGUCACUGAGGUUUAUCUCCUGUGAGGCCAACAGUGUUCCAUUUUCUUGCACACGAGUUUAUAUAUUGUCUCUGGUGAUGCCAUGUCCUGCAUCGGGUCAGCAGGAGCUCACCAGGUGUCUGGGUGACCAUGCAGGUGGUGACCUGAGGGGAGCGUGCAGGCAGAUGAAGCUCCUGCAUGUGGCUCACUCUUUCCACCUGCACUACUUUGUACAUCACCGUGAGUCCCGCCACGUCACGGCGAUGCUGGAGGGUGUGGAGUCGUGGCUGCUGCCCAGCAGUGUCCCUGAUAAGCCUUGCUGCUCGGUUCUGUACUUUGUCCAGGAGGAUGAGGUGUUUGCUGGCGGAGCCGCCCCCCGCAAGGCAUGAGAACUCCAGGGAGGACCUUACUUGUGCUUUAUAGAGCAGCUCUAGCCCCUCACCAUCCAGCAACCACGACAUUCUUCGGAGUGAGGCGAGCUUCCCGGAGGCUGCCCUGGCAAGGCACUCAAUGUGGGUCCUGAAGGUCAAUCCUUGGUCGUAGGUGACCCCCAGCACCUCUACCUCCUCUUGUGGUGAAAGUGUUGCCCCGUUGAAGUUUAUGCGCAUGGUUGAGCGUGACCUUGAGACGAGGAGCAGCUGUGUUUUCUGUGGGGCGAACUUAACUUGCCAGGUGUUGCCCCAGGCCACGAUGCGGCACAACCUGUCCUCCAGCUGCCUUGCUGCUUCAGGCUCCUCCUCUGCCUGGUAACUCUUAGUCAGAGUUACAUCAUCAGCGUAAGCCCUUGCGCUGGGGAUGAGGUGCAGCAGGUCGUUGAUGUAGAUGUUCCACAGCAGAGGGCCGAGGCAACUUCCCUGUGGUACACCUGCCUGGAUGGGCUGCACCUCUGACUCCUGGCCGCUGACAGUCACUCUCAGGUGUCUGUUGCUGAGAUAAUCCUCCAGCAGAGACAGGAGUGCACCAUCAAUGCCAGUUGCACGAAUUUUAGUGAUCAGGGCUUUGUGCCACACCCGGUCGAAAGCGCCUUCAAUAUCCAGUGCCACGACGGCUGUGGUCUUGCCCUGAUCAAGUGCAGCACUCAAUUGGGUGGCAAGCAGCAGAUGUAGGUCUGCCGCGGAUCUACCCUGCCGAAAACCAAACUGCCUGACGCACAGAAAAUGGUGUUUCUCUAGGUGCUCUCUCUCUCUCUCUCUCUCUCUCUCUCUCUCUCUCUCUCUCUCUCUCUCUCUCUCUCUCUCUCUGACACACACUUUAAUGUAUACGGACUCACUCAGCGAGAACGAACAGAGAGGCUUAUUAUUAGGUUUGGAGACCGAUUCACUUGGAUCUCAUUUGGGUUGGGUAUCAGCAGCCUUGAUGAUCACCUGUUUUCAGCAUCAAUUGCCUUGUUGACCUGAUGACCUGAGCACCAAUCGCUUACGGACCAAAUGACUCUAAACCAGGAAGCUUGACUCUUGAAUCAUUGUUGUUGUUACUACUACUACUACUACUACUACUACUACUACUACUACUACUACUAAUG